GAUGAACGCUGACAGAAUGCUUAACACAUGCAAGUCUUUGGCUAAGCUGUGCUUGCACAGCCUAGCCAAGGCGGACGGGUGAGUAACGCGUAAGGAACUUGCCCUGCAGUCAGGGAUAACAGACGGAAACGACUGAUAAGACCUGGUAAAGUCAGGCGGACUCAUGUCCAGCCUGAUGAAAAGAGAUGCUGCAGGAGAGCCUUGCGUCCUAUUAGCUUGUUGGUGGGGUAACGGCCCACCAAGGCGAUGAUAGGUAGCCGGCCUGAGAGGGUGGACGGCCACAAGGGGACUGAGAUACGGCCCUUACUCCUACGGGAGGCAGCAGUGGGGAAUAUUGGACAAUGGGGGCAACCCUGAUCCAGCAAUUCUGUGUGCACGAUGAAGGUUUUCGGAUUGUAAAGUGCUUUCAGCGGGGAAGAAAAAAAUGACGGUACCUGCAGAAGAAGCGACGGCUAAAUACGUG
rnacentral:rRNA from 1 species